AUCGAGGACUAGGGGGGCCUUAAGUAGAACUGUCAUGGUCAUGUGUUGAACUGUUGAACAUGAUCAUGUGUUGGACUGUUGAUCGAUCAAAUAAGGUUUGUGCCACAUCGUUGGUCUUUUUUCUUGUUAAUUUGAAUUUGUGUUAUGUGCCAAUCGCUGCUUAUACAAAGCCGGUUGUAUACUAUCCACUUGAUACUACAUUAUGAGACACCAAUUGUAAAAAACAUUAUGUGAUAAUCACCAUCAGACGUGUAAAUUAUGAUAAAAAAGGCAACAAGAUCGUAA
rnacentral:lncRNA from 1 species